rnacentral:rRNA from 1 species
UACGAAGGGGGCUAGCGUUGUUCGGAAUUACUGGGCGUAAAGCGCGCGUAGGCGGUGAUCUUUGUCAGAGGUGAAAGCCCGGGGCUCAACUCCGGAAUUGCCUUUGAAACGGGAUCGCUUGAGUCCGAGAGAGGAUGGCGGAAUUCCUAGUGUAGAGGUGAAAUUCGUAGAUAUUAGGAAGAACACCGGUGGCGAAGGCGGCCAUCUGGCUCGGUACUGACGCUCAGGCGCGAAAGCGUGGGGGAGCAAACAGG